UGCAACUGCAUUUAUGAGCUUCUUCUCAGUUGUUAUAGCAUUAUUUAAGGUAUCAACUUUUGUUUUUUUUCCAUGGAACUAUGUUGUGUGCUUUCCCUUUCUGCUUGGUUGGGCACACCAAACUCAGACAUAGUUGAAAUAAUUUUUUUUUUCUGUUGUUGAAUAAUGUGUAGGAUAUAUUUAAUAUUGAUGGAGACAGGAUUUAUGGCAUCCGAUCUUUUACAGUGCGCUUGGGUCAAAAGCGGGUGUUUUGGAUAUGCAUUUCACUACUUGAAAUUGCUUAUACAGUUGCACUUUUAGUAGGAGCAUCAUCUGGCUUCUUGUGGAGCAAAGUCAUUACGGUAUUGGGACACACAAUUUUGGCUUCAAUACUCUGGACUAAUGCCAAGUCGGUUGAUUUGAGCAGCAAAGCUGCAAUAACAUCGUUUUACAUGUUCAUAUGGAAGGUAAAUAACUAUGGUGCCAAAUUUAAUUUGUUUGGCGCUCAUUUUUGGGUAUACCUCGAUUUUUGUGCUUUGACUCAAAUUGCAUUGAUUUAGGAUUCAAAUCUCUUGUUCCCAUUUUUCUCUAUUUGUUCUAUG